ACCUGCGUGGCGCAGUGGUUAACGCUUUUGUUUUUGAAUUUUCAGUCCCGGGUUCGAUCCUCACGGAGGCC